UCUCCAAUACACUAACUAGAUCCACACUUUAUCGAGAAAAUCUUUUGUCAUUUUUCGAUCGGAGAAAGUUUUCUGUUUAAAAAAUUGUUUACAGACAGAAAAAAAUUACUCGUGCAUCAAAGUGACACCAAUAAAUUUCUGGCUCUGUGUUCCAAAUCUAGAAUAACCAUAUUCAAUGGGUAGACAUCACUGUUUUAGGUGGGAAGUUGUAAAGGUGAGGAUACAGAUUUAAUUAGUAAGAAUAUUCUGAAAGUAACAAUAAAUUAUUACAAUUGAAAAACUUUCUUAGAGGUUCUUGAUAAACUGUUAAGUUAUAAUAGUAAUUGUAGUUUUCAACGGUAAGUCCAAUGUAACCAAAAAUUUGAGAAACGAAUUCUUAACUAUAUACGAAUACAAAUUAUUAUUGGACACACUAUUAAUAAACUGGUGUAGGCUCUUAGUCAGUGACGAUUGUAAUCAAUAUUAAUCAAUCAAUCAAUCAA